rnacentral:misc_RNA from 1 species
UUUCCGUAGGUGAACCUGCGGAAGGAUCAUUAUCAAAAGUCAAGUCGGGGGCUGUAAAGCUCUCGUCUACACCCAUGUCUUUUGCGUACUCUUGUUUCCUCGGUGGCGCAAGCUGCCGAUUGGACAAACCAAAACCUUUUUUGUAAUUGCAAUCAGCGUCUGAUAACAAACCUAAAUUAUCACAACUUUCAACAAUGGAUCUCUUGGUUCUG